UACCAGCACCCCGAGUGGUCGGGACGAUUAUUGGGCCUAAAACAUCCGUAGCCGGUCAUGCAAGUCCUCCGUUAAAUCCACCUGCUUAACAGAUGGGCUGCGGAAGAUACUACAAGGCUAGGAGGCGGAAGAGGCAAGCGGUACUCAGUGGGUAGGGGUAAAAUCCUCUGAUCCAUUGAAGCCCACCAGUGGCGAAGGCGGCUUGCCAAUACGCGCUCGACGGUGAGGGAUGAAAGCUGGGGGAGCAAACCGG
rnacentral:rRNA from 1 species